rnacentral:rRNA from 1 species
AACAGGAUUAGAUACCCUGGUAGUCCACGCCGUAAACGAUGUCGACUUGGAGGUUGUGCCCUUGAGGCGUGGCUUCCGGAGCUAACGCGUUAAGUCGACCGCCUGGGGAGUACGGCCGCAAGGUUAAAACUCAAAUGAAUUGACGGGGGCCCGCACAAGCGGUGGAGCAUGUGGUUUAAUUCGAUGCAACGCGAAGAACCUUACCUACUCUUGACAUCCAGAGAACUUAGCAGAGAUGCUUUGGUGCCUUCGGGAACUCUGAGACAGGUGCUGCAUGGCUGUCGUCAGCUCGUGUUGUGAAAUGUUGGGUUAAGUCCCGCAACGAGCGCAACCCUUAUCCUUUGUUGCCAGCGGUCMGGCCGGGAACUCAAAGGAGACUGCCAGUGAUAAACUGGAGGAAGGUGGGGAUGACGUCAAGUCAUCAUGGCCCUUACGAGUAGGGCUACACACGUGCUACAAUGGCGCAUACAAAGAGAAGCGACCUCGCGAGAGCAAGCGGACCUCAUAAAGUGCGUCGUAGUCCGGAUUGGAGUCUGCAACUCGACUCCAUGAAGUCGGAAUCGCUAGUAAUCGUAGAUCAGAAUGCUACGGUGAAUACGUUCCCGGGCCUUGUACACACCGCCCGUCACACCAUGGGAGUGGGUUGCAAAAGAAGUAGGUAGCUUAACCUYCGGGAGGGCGCUUACCACUUUGUGAUUCAUGACUGGGGUGAAGUCGUAACAAGGUAACC